GACGAACGCUGGCGGCGUGCCUAAUACAUGCAAGUAGAACGCUGAAGCGAGGAGCUUGCUCUUCUUGGAUGAGUUGCGAACGGGUGAGUAACGCGUAGGUAACCUGCCUUGUAGCGGGGGAUAACUAUUGGAAACGAUAGCUAAUACCGCAUAACAAUGGAUGACACAUGUCAUUUAUUUGAAAGGGGCAAUUGCUCCACUACAAGAUGGACCUGCGUUGUAUUAGCUAGUAGGUGAGGUAAUGGCUCACCUAGGCGACGAUACAUAGCCGACCUGAGAGGGUGAUCGGCCACACUGGGACUGAGACACGGCCCAGACUCCUACGGGAGGCAGCAGUAGGGAAUCUUCGGCAAUGGGGGCAACCCUGACCGAGCAACGCCGCGUGAGUGAAGAAGGGUUUCGGAUCGGAAAGCUCUGUUGUAAGUCAAGAACGGGUGUGAGAGUGGAAAGUUCACACUGUGACGGUAGCUGACCAGAAAGGGACGGCUAACUACGUG
rnacentral:rRNA from 1 species